GCUGCGGUUAAAAAGCUCGUAGUUGGAUCUCAGGUUCGAUUCGGCGGUUCUGUUCACGCAGGUACUGCUGAUGAGGCCUAACCCCCCGGAAGUUAACAAUAACGCAUCGCAGUGGGUUCCCUUAGCUGGGUGCCCGCUGUGGCCGAGGCGUUUACCUUGAAAAAAUUAGAGUGUUCAAGGCAGGUUUGGAAGCUCGAAUAUUUGUGCAUGGAAUAAUGGAACAUGAUCUAGAGGAACUGUUGUGUUGGUCUUUUCGGUACCCAGAUAAUGAUUAAGAAGGACUGCCGGGGGCAUUAGUAUGGCGGGGUUAGAGGUGAAAUUCUUGGAUGCUCGCCAGACUAACAACAGCGAAGGCAUUUGCCAAGGAUGUCUUCAUUAGUCAAGAGCGAAAGUCAGAGGUUCGAAGACGAUCAG
rnacentral:rRNA from 1 species